ACCAUUGGAUUUGGCUGAGAUUAAAUCUCAGCCACUUAAACUCAUAAAAAUAACCUCUCUCUAAUGGCAGUUCAAAGCAGUUUCCUGGGCCUCCAUAUUUUCCUGCCCAUGUUCUCCCCAAAUCACGUUAUUUUGGCGGUUCUUAGCAGUUUUGAAGGCUAAGCGCCUAAGUUCAUCCUUAUAAACCCCCAUUCUACCUCCUGAAUCAAUGCGUCCUCUGGCUCCUUCUUCCCAUUCAACUAAUCUUUUCUCUCUCAUCCAAGCAUCUCAACAUCAUCUGGUAUCCAUUGCUCAAAUUUGAAAAAUUAGGAGCCACCAGUGUUCAUCGCCGCUACCACGGUUUACGAUUACGAGAAGUGGGCACCGCAAUACGACCACAAUCUGGGCUUUCCGAAUCAAAACAGGUCGUCUGCGAUGCUGCUAAGAUCCAUGGUGUUUCUGAUCUCCAAUUCAAUUCAUCCAAUGAAGGAAUUGAUGAUGAAGAAGAAUCGUUAAGCACUGAAAUAACAUGUGCAACCACGUUGGGAGGUGUUUUGUAAGCAUUAAGGAUUCAUACAAACGUCUUUCCAGUUCAUCACACUUCAUCACACUGAUGGUGAAUCUGAUGAUUUUAUUGUUGUAUUGAUGUUUCUAAUUAAAAUCUUUGUGGCACGAUACCCCGUGAUGGCCCUUUCACAAGCUUCCCAAUCUAAAGACUGAACGGGCUAGAGCUAAUAGGACUCAUCUCUUACGAAUUUGGAUGCUAAAUUACUGUAAAGAUGUGCUUGGUUUGUCAUGGCAGCCAAUUUUGAUCAAGUGUCUACAAUUAUGUUUUCAGGUACCAAAUGCUACCCACCAUGUUUCUUUUUUGUCCUACAAACUCUUAAAUUUGAGUGUGGUGUCUACAAUUUUAUUCAAGUUAGAAGUACUGGAUCUUAAGGGCAUGGAAUGAGCUGAAAUUAUAACACCUGGCUCACCUAUUCCUGUACAUUUACCAAUUGAAUCUGCAGUUGAGGAAUACAUGGUUCGCAAAUCGCAAUGAUGAUACUACUUUGUGCAUUUUGAAGCUAUAAAGCCAGCAUGUCAAAUAAACAAAGCAAAAGAAGAGGGUUUGUUGAAAAAAAAAUGUAAGCUAACUACCACUUUAAGCACAAGCAAUAUGCAUCUCUUCAAUGCAAAUGGUAUUAUAAAUAAGUACGAGACCCCAUGACAAAAGUAAGGAUGGCAUUCAUGAACAAAAAAACCAGAUAUUUAAGCUAAUUUGGUUUAUUGAGGUUCAUUUUCUUUGUGAUUACAACUCUUGAGAAAUUAUUUCACCUUCGUCUUGACUUUUAUGAGAAGAGGAAGGUGCAGCUAUGCUCAAGGGAAUGACUACCCAGUUCCUCCUCCUCCUCCGUUCCUUUGAGGUCAGAUUUUCACUUAAAUAUUCUGGGUCAAUCUGUUACUGAAGAAUUGUAGUUGUACUUAUUGCAGUCAUAUUGCAUUCUUGCUGAUUUAUUUUUGACUAAGUACUUAAUUUGAACAAGUAAAAAAUGGGCAUAUGGCCACGUGCGUGCGGCAACUGAUGGUGUUGGAUCGUGAUUGGGUCAAUGGGCAAAUGCACUGGUGAGUGCAUCCGUUUUUUUACUCACCCUUACCAUUGGAUUAGGCCAAUAUUAAAUCCUAAUUAUCUUAAUAUCAUAUAUUUAUUUUUGUUCGUGGGCUGUGGAGUAGGUAGAUCAGAGUACCAGACAUGUAUUUUCAACAUGUUUGAUUU